UCUCGCGAAAAUAAAGUGUAACUUUAAAGCGUACGUUUUGUAACGUAAUUAUUUUUAUAAUUUUAAGAGUACGAAUCGAAAGUGGAAUUCUCUCGUCGAAUCGAGAGAUACUUUUUUGAAAACGGACGUCGCAUUGAGAUUAAAAAUUUCGAUUUCUCAAUUUCUCAAAUUUCUCUUCUUACUUCGCGAAAACUAUUAUCCGCUAGUUUCACUCUCAAUAUUGUAUAUAUAAAAUUAUAAUUUAGAAUUAUAAUGGAUAGAAAUUUGAUAAAUCGAGAAUAUUUUUCGCGAGAAGAAAUUAUUAAUCGAAAGUACGAUUCCUAACUUAAAAUCGAGAACUUUUGCGAGUUGCUCUCUCUCUCUUUCUCUUUCUCUUUCUCUCUGAGAGAUGUUUGCUGCGAAGAAUAUUAUUCAGAGUAACUUAACUUAGAAUUUUACUUUCAAAUAUAUUCGUACUCCGACUAUCGAAAGAUUACCAAGAGGACCAUUCAACGAUGGGCCGGAACCAUCCAUCAGAGGUCCGAUAGAGUAGUAUCAAGGAUGCUGGAUGUGGUGGAGCGAAGAUACCAGGGAACGAGCCAAAGUAAUCAUUAGCAGAUGGCCAAUUUGUUACGAUCAGAACUCGUGAAUUAUUAUUAUUAGAAAUUAUUAUUAUCGAUGUUUGAAAAAAGGAAUAUUGAAAAAGUCUUUUCAAAUCAUUCGAGAGAAAUCGCAUCAAAGAAGAAGAAGAAGAAGAAGAAGAAGAAGAUGAAAAAAAAAAAGAAAUUAAAUAGACCCGAGAAAGAAGGAGAAUCUUUCAUAUUUUUUCCAAAGAAAUUUAUGACGCGUCAACCGCUAGAACGGAAUAGAAUAGAAAAUUCCAAAACCGUGACGCAUCAUGGCCACCCUCGCCCUCUAUUGCUCGUAUUAAAGAAAAAUUAAAAAAAAAAAGAAAAAAGAAAAAAGAAACUCCAUAAGAAGAAAAAAAAAGGAAAAUCGACUUAAGGAAACGAAUAUAAGACAAGAAAGGAGUCCGGCGCAGAACCGUGAGAGAGAAGGAAAAACUUCACCGCCUUCUCUUCGAACAGAUUUUCCUACGGGGUAGGAGCGAUCCGUCGUCGUCCAAUUUGCCGUACGAAGCCAAUAGCCGUCGUCGUGUACGAGGCAUCGGAAAAAAAAAAAAAAAAAAAAAAAAAAAAAAAAAAAAAAGAAGGGACGACCCCUGCCACGACAGAGUCGCGCCGUUAUCCGAUAUUUGUGACCGAAAAUGGAGGCAGGGAAGACGAGGCGAGGAGACGAGGCCCUCUAGAAGGAAGGAGGUGACACAAGGCAAACUCGAAAGGAAACGAUCCCUUAUCGUACUUGUUCCGCUCGUACCCUUACCCUUUCCUUUCCUUUCCUUUCCUUUCCUUCCUUUUUUUCUCCCGAUCUUUUCUCGGCCAUCGCGAUAAUGGCUCAUCGAGACACGCGCUCCGUACCUCGUCGAUGGCAAAUACGAAAGGAGCGGCCGUUUAAACUCGAAUGCGACCCAUGGGACGGCCCGCCGUCGACGGUAAUAAAUAUGCAAAAUUUUGCUGGUCGGUCAAACGUGCUGGAGAUAUCGUUUUUUCUUUCUCUCUCUCGUUUUAAUUUUGUAACGUGAUUAGCAUUGAAUUCAUUGUACGAUACGUACAUGGAAUAUUGAUACGUUCGUGUUUGAAGAAUGAAGAAAGAAAGGAUUGAUUCUUUUAGAGGAUAGAACAAACAGGAAAGGAAAAUAUUAGCAUUCAAAAAUCUCGAUGGGAUAAAACUGUUAAAAUUUAUAAUUUAACAAAUGAAUAAUAAUCGAUAUUUUCCAAGAUAGGACAAAUUUUAUAAUUGGCCUUUUUAAAUUAUAAAUAUAUAAUUCUACGAAAGUGUUGAAUUAGAAAGAUGGAAUUAAUUUAUUUAUUAUAUAAUGCAUUAUAUUUGUCUCAAUGUUCCACUCACGUUCGUUAUUUCUGCAUCGUAAUCGAUUGAUUUCUUGGAACACAUCAGAUAAGUUAACUUUGUAAAAAUUAGAAGAUUGUAGAUCCACCAUGAUGAGUUGUGCAAAUUGAUUAUUGGAUCCAACGAAUAUAGACGAAUGAUACAUUUUCAUAUUUUUUUUAAAGAAGCUCCAAAGUAGCUAUAUAUUAUCAUUAUUUGUCGAUGAUAGAGAGAUUAAAUUUUUUUUUUUUUUUUGAGAGGUUUAUUUUAUCAAGUUGUUAAGAAAAAUGAAUCACAGGUGUUGAAUAACGUCGACACGGAUAAGAGAAAGUAUUUCUGAAUUGGAUUCGAAGGAAAUAGAAAGAGACGAUAUGUGAUCAAGUUCAAUUAGUAGCAGAUUAACUUGACACGUUGAAUCGUAUCAAUUUUUUGUUUCUCUCUUAUCGAGAUGUUUGUCGUUCUUUUAAAUUGAAUGGCAAAUAUUUAUCUUCGAGAUGGAAGUAGAAGAUUUUAUUAAGUGCGCACUUUAUGCAAAAGUAUGAGUAAACAAAGUGAUGAUAGUACGAAGAGAAUAAUAAUAAUGUGAAUUUUUUAAGUAUAGUGGGGAGUUAAAUGAAGUUGUUUGUGUUGCAAGAUGAUUGGCGAUUUUACACGCAUGAGAAUUUUUCUUGAAAUUGUUAAAAUCUGUUAAAUACAUCAAAACUAAUUUUAUUUUUGUUGCUUAAUUUUCUAAAUCUAGAAAUUGUAAUUGGAUGCAUUAAAAAGAGUGAUAGAUAAAAUUCUUUUUUUUUUUAAUAUGUUUUUUUUUAUAAUAACAAGUUUUUAUUUUUAAUGUUUAGAUUUGAAUACGAGCACAUUAAAGGUAAUUGUUUGAUAAAUUCAAGGCCGAGAAAUCAAGAUAUAUAGUCAGUACUAUAUAUUGCCAGUAGUACUGUGCUAAUAGAUAUGUUACAGAAGAAGGAAAUUCUUGUAAUUUACGGUAGUUGUUAACGAGAACAUAAUAUUUUCUUUUAGAAAAUAUCAUUUCUAAUUAAUUAAAUCGAUAUGAAAAUGAAUACAUUAUAUGGAGAAGCAACAAAUAUAAUAUGCAUCAUCGUAAGUAGAAGAUUAUUCAGUAAUUUAUAUCAACGAAUCAACAAAAUUUCAAAAUAUCACAUCAAGAUAGGAGAUUAUUCUUUCUACAAAUAAUUAAAAUGCACAAUUCGCGAUAUACGAAUAAACAGAUAAUUAAGAAUGAUUGAUAACGCUGAAAAAGAAGAAUUACUUAAAAAAAUGCCUUCAAUAAUAAUUAACCGUACAUCUCCGUAUUUAAGCAUUUAUUAUUUUAAUUUAUUUUAAUUAAUUGUAAUUUAAAACAAGUUUUUCUAAGCAAAACACCUCUUUGGAAGAUUUUUAUUGCACAAUUAAAAUUAUCAUAAUUUAAACACGAAGUAUACUCGAUGCGAUGCGAUCAUUCUAUACUCAAGAAACGAACUUUGAAUCAUUGUGUCAUUCUCUCGACAAUGCAGAGA